UAGGCAUUUUAUACCGUCUCGGCUAUUUUAAAGGAGAUGCCUGUUUGCUAGAUAUUGUCGGUGAAGAUAUAUCCAGGCGCAUGGUUUUGGAGACAAGAUUAGACAAGGAUAUUGGCGGGCAUGUAGCCCACCUGCUCAAUCAUUUUCAUCGUUAACGAGCGUCAAUUGGAAAUGAGGUAAUGCCGACUAUCGGAGCAGUAGAGCCGAUGCGGAGAAAACGCCCCGCGAGAGCCAAUAGCGGGGCCUUCUCGAAGACGCGCGAAUGUUCGAAGACUUCCUCCGCCAUUCAAUGUCAACGUCAUUGAAAUCGUCACAUUAUCGGAUAAUGACUCGGAUUCAAAAAAAAGAAGAAAAAGAAAAGAAAUAAUGUACAUAUAACAA